rnacentral:tRNA from 1 species
GUUAAGGUGGCUGACUUCAUAGGCAGCGGUCUGUAAAACCGCCAACGGAUAAUUUAUCCCUUUAAUA